UAAAAUAAAGAAGGAAGGCAAUUAAGUGGGCUUUAGCCCAUCUGCUUCAAAAUGACGAAGCUAGAAAAGGGUUUGAAACAAAAAUUCCUUUAGCCAACCACAUGUCAAACGGGGGAAAAGAAAGAAAACGAUUAUACUGUUUCUUAGCGCCGAAUACCGUGUUUCACUUCGUCAUCAGCAUAUAUUCUUGAGCGUCACCAAUAAACUCCAGAUUGAUUGAAGGAAGCUGUACGGAUUGCCCGAGGUAACGAGUUUGGUAUUUCGGCACGAGUACUAGGCAAUAGUUGACGCGAGCGAGGAUUCCGUUAAUUAAAGUACACAAUUUGCUAGUUCCUGGUGAGCCC